GAUGAACGCUGGCGGCGUGCCUAAUACAUGCAAGUCGAGCGAACAGAUGAGGAGCUUGCUCCUCUGACGUUAGCGGCGGACGGGUGAGUAACACGUGGAUAACCUACCUAUAAGACUGGGAUAACUUCGGGAAACCGGAGCUAAUACCGGAUAAUAUAUUGAACCGCAUGGUUCAAUAGUGAAAGACGGUUUUGCUGUCACUUAUAGAUGGAUCCGCGCCGCAUUAGCUAGUUGGUAAGGUAACGGCUUACCAAGGCGACGAUGCGUAGCCGACCUGAGAGGGUGAUCGGCCACACUGGAACUGAGACACGGUCCAGACUCCUACGGGAGGCAGCAGUAGGGAAUCUUCCGCAAUGGGCGAAAGCCUGACGGAGCAACGCCGCGUGAGUGAUGAAGGUCUUCGGAUCGUAAAACUCUGUUAUUAGGGAAGAACAAAUGUGUAAGUAACUAUGCACGCCUUGACGGUACCUAAUCAGAAAGCCACGGCUAACUACGUG
rnacentral:rRNA from 1 species